rnacentral:lncRNA from 1 species
GAAGCUGUAAGUUAUAUAAACGACAUUCAAUAAUAACUUUAUCUAAGCAUCAUAUUUAUAUAUAUAAAAAGGUGGAGUACAUGCAAAACCAUCAAGUUUAAUAUUAUAAUUAACGUGUUCGAGGCACAGCUCGUAACUACACAUACGGUAAACAAAAUAUAUAUAUUCGGUCACAGCCGUCAUCAAAAUGCAUGAUCAUAAACCAAUAUAUAUAAAGUCUCGACCCACCAAAAUUGGAAGAGGCUAAGUUGGUUAGUAGCAAGAUAUAUUUACCAAAAACAUCAACAUAUAAUACUUCAUCAUAUAAUAGAACGGGAGAAUGUGGAGCUCCAUGUCUGCCGUCUUGCCGUCAACUCCUUAACCUGAAAAGAAUCAUAAAUAAUAGGGUAUGAGUGUGCAAGCACACUCAGUGGGGUAAACACUGCAAGCAGUUAUAACCAAUUGUGUAAUGAAUCAUAACAUGUUGAACUCUUAUAAUUUUUCACUUAGCUGACAUCUUGUGAGACUAGUCUCGGUCCCUUGUGGACCUGACCCCUUGUGGGCCGUUCAGCUCUUUGAUCCCUUGUGGAUCGACCCCUUGUGGGUCCCAUUAGUUCAUAUGAAUGACGCACAACACAACAAUGAUUAUAACCAUGUAACAACUACGCUUACAGAUAAAGUAAACCCACCUUAAGUGAUUGAAUUCAAACCUCUUCAAGCUUGCUUCGGUUGUCCUCCUCGAGCCUUGGAUGCGCCGCUCCUAGCACUUGA